AAAAGGACCAGCUACUGAACCACCACUGUUAUUUCCUGCAACGUGGGGCAUUUUGUUGUUCUUGAAACCACUGGCUUCAGUUGUAGGAAGGACAUUACAAAUAAUGGCUCAUCAAUAUACAAUCUGCGCUGGUUUAAUACGUGACAAGGAGGCAAGCCAGCAGUGGAGAACAGCAAUGGAUAUGAUGCAUUUAAGCAAGCAAGAGAAAUUAAGGACGAAAAGGCGGAAGAGUUUCUGAAAAAUCAGGUAAGGAGUUUGGGUGGUUCUCUACAAAUGUG
rnacentral:lncRNA from 1 species